UGUGAUGUAAGCAAACAAGUCUUGUUUAUUACUAUGGCUUUGAUUCAAAGAUAAAAAAAGGAGUAGUAAUAUUUAGGAAGACAUUUGAUUGAAAUAGUAUUAUUGUCUAUAUGUCUCUUUGAUGGUUGUAGUAACCUGUAUCUGAGCUGUUUAAUGGAUAAAUUACCCUAUGCUAAUUGCCAUGAUGUUGUGAAAGAGAGAGAAG